GCUUACGGCCAUACCAGCCUGAAUACGCCCGAUCUCGGAAACUAAGCAGGGUCGGGCCUGGUUAGUACUUGGAUGGGAGACCGCCUGGGAAUACCAGGUGCUGUAAGCG
rnacentral:rRNA from 1 species